GCGGAAGUAGCUCAUUUGGUAGAGCGGGAGCCUUCCAAGCUCCAGGUGGCGGGUUCGAGCCCCGUCUUCCGCU
rnacentral:tRNA from 1 species